UGGGGAAUAUUGGACAAUGGGCGAAAGCCUGAUCCAGCCAUGCCGCGUGUGUGAAGAAGGUCUUCGGAUUGUAAAGCACUUUAAGUUGGGAGGAAGGGCAUUAACCUAAUACGUUAGUGUUUUGACGUUACCGACAGAAUAAGCACCGGCUAACUCUGUGCCAGCAGCCGCGGUAAUACAGAGGGUGCAAGCGUUAAUCGGAAUUACUGGGCGUAAAGCGCGCGUAGGUGGUUUGUUAAGUUGGAUGUGAAAUCCCCGGGCUCAACCUGGGAACUGCAUUCAAAACUGACUGACUAGAGUUUGGUAGAGGGUGGUGGAAUUUCCUUUGUAGCGGUGAAAUGCGUAGAUAUAGGAAGGAACACCAGUGGCGAAGGCGACCACCUGGACUAAUACUGACACUGAGGUGCGAAAGCGUGGGGAGCAAACA
rnacentral:rRNA from 1 species